rnacentral:rRNA from 1 species
GACGAACGCUGGCGGCGUGCUUAACACAUGCAAGUCGAACGGAAAGGCCUGUCCUUCCUUGUGUUGGACGGGUACUCGAGUGGCGAACGGGUGAGUAACACGUGAGUGAUCCGCCCCCAACUUGUGUAUAAGCCUGGGAAACUGGGUCUAAUUCCCUAUAGGACUGCAGGGGGGUGCCGGUGGUUUAAAACGAUGUUCUAGUGGUUGGGGAUGAGCUCGCGGCCUAUCAGCUUGUUGGUGGGGUAAUGGCGUACCAAGGGGGCGAAGGGUAGCCGGCCUGAGGGGGUGGACCGGCGCAUUGGGACUGAGCUACGGCCCAGGCUCCGACGGGCGGCAGCAGUGGGGAAGAUUGGCAGAUGGGCGGAAGACUGAUGCAGCGACGCCGCGUGGGGGAUGCCGGGCUUCGGGUUGUAAACUCCUUUCGGCCGCGAGGAAGCCGCCUGGUUGGAAGGGUUGUGACGGUAGUGGUAGAAGAAGCACUGGCUAACUACGUG